rnacentral:rRNA from 1 species
GUGGGGAAUUUUGGACAAUGGGGGAAACCCUGAUCCAGCGAUGCCGCGUGUGUGAAGAAGGCCUUCGGGUUGUAAAGCACUUUAGGUGGGGAAGAAAGGUAAUUAUUGAAUAAAUGAUUGCUAUGACGGUACCCGCAGAAUAAGCACCGGCUAACUCUGUGCCAGCAGCCGCGGUAAUACAGAGGGUGCAAGCGUUAAUCAGAAUGACUGGGCGUAAAGGGCGUGUAGGUGGUCAACUAGGUUUGAUGUGAAAUCCCCGGGCUUAACCUGGGAAUUGCGUCGAAAACGGGUAGACUAGAGUGAGAUAGAGGGUUGUGGAAUUUCCGGUGUAGCGGUGAAAUGCGUAGAUAUCGGAAAGAACAUCAGUGGCGAAGGCGACAACCUGGAUCUUAACUGACACUGAGGCGCGAAGGCGUGGGGAGCAAACAGGAUUAGAUACCCGGGUAGUCC